ACGCUCGACACCUACGUGAGGCAGCAGUGGGGAAUAUUGCACAAUGGGGGAAACCCUGAUGCAGCGACGCCGCGUGAGCGAAGAAGUAUUUCGGUAUGUAAAGCUCUAUCAGCAGGGAAGAAACUGACGGUACCUGACUAAGAAGCACCGGCUAAAUACGUGUCAGCAGCCGCGGUAAUCUGAGCGGGCUGGCAAGGC
rnacentral:rRNA from 1 species